UAGCACUUUAUAAAAAGAGACACUAGAAAUCUUGCUCUCUCUUUCUCUCCAUCAUGUGAGGACAUGGUGAGAAGACAGCCAUCUGCAAGCCAGAAAGAGCGCUAACCAGAACGCAACCAUGUGGAUACCCCGAUCUCAUAGUCCCAGCCUCCAAAACUGUGGGCCUCUCCCAGAUGGCAACUUGUUUAUCAAAGCAUGAAAACCAAGAAGGUGAUAAAGAAAGUCUGCUAGCAAGACAUAAGUCACAAUCUUUUGUAAUCUAUUUAUGAAAGUGACAUCCCAUCAUCUUGACCACAAUCUAUUGAUUAGAAACAAGUACAGCUCACCCUCAACAAGAGGAGAUAAUAUCCAGGUGUGAAUUGCACAAGGACAGGAAAUAGAGGAAACCACAUAACUGAGCUCAAGUCCAAGACAGCUCAAUAAUAUCACACACAGAGUUCUCCCAUCUAUCCCAAGGAGAGAAUGCCAAUUUGUGAGGGUAUCUUCUCUUGGACCUAGAAUGAGAGAAUAAGGAACAGACUAAUCCAGUGGAAAAACUAUAUUCGACCCAAGGAUCUGUAUCCACACAGUUUGACAAUAAUUUACUUCUUUCUGGAAGCGAUGAGCACAGUGUAAUUCCUGAGAAAUUUUAAUAAUGAUAUUUUAAUUAUAAUUAAGUGAAACCUAGCAAAGUUGGCUGUAUCUGGAGGAACUCCACUGUGGGAAACAGAUUCUUAAGAUGGCUGAAGAUGGCUGUUUCGCUGCAUCAAUGUGUGACUUUCAAUAGAUGAUCGAAGAUGGCUGUUUGGCACUGUGUCUGAAUUAAGCCAGAAGGAAGGAGGAAGAAGAUGAAGAAAAGGCAUGCCUCUACCCCUUAGGACCACGUCUCUGAAGCUGUAUACAACAUUUCUGCUCUCAUAUAAUUGGGCAGAACUUAGUCAUAGAGCUACAUGUAGUUGCAAGGGAAGCUAUAUGCACUAAUGUGCUUAGUUAAACAUUGGGAUUCUCUUACUAAGGUACAUAAGGAGAACAUAUAUUUGGAGAGGCAACUAUCCAUCUCUGCCACAAGAUCUGAAACAAUUAUUGUGAGACUAUAAACAUAGAAAAAAGCUCCAGAGAUCAGGGGGAAGUCAGAAAUUAUUUGGGAUUCCAGUGAAUGGAAUGUUGACCAUAAAUGAGAAAUGAUGCUUGGGAUAAUUCCUAGCGAGCAUUGGCUUUUAGAGUUGGGAUUGAAGUCAACCAGCUAUAAAGAGCAAGACUGGGUGGGGUACUUUGAAAUGUCAUAUCAUUGUGUAUGGCUUUUGUGGUAGUUACUGCUUCUUUUUAGAAUAAUUCUCAUAACUAGGUAGAAAGCUCACCUUUGAAACUUCUGCAUGCCUAAUAAAAUGCUUCACUCACACCCAGUUGUUUUACUCAAGCGAGUAGUUUUAUGGUAACUGCAUUUGGGGUAACAGUCUUACAGAAGAGUUAACACAAUGGGCAGAUUCCAGGUGUGCUGUCAUUUGGAGGAGGCAAAUCCAUACAGACAAGAAGUAGAUUAGUGGUUGCCUAGAGCUGGAGGAGGGUAGGGAUAAGGAAUGGAUUACUACUGGGACUGGGUUUCUUUUUGGGGUGAUGAAAAUUUUCUAAAAUUGAUUGUGGUGAUGGUUGCCUAACUCUGUGAAUAGCAAUGAAUUGUGCUAUUGUACACUUUAGGUAAAUGGUAUGGUAUAUGAGUUAUAUCCCCAAUAAAGCUGUUAAAAAAGAAUGAGAAAGACCGAGUGACUUGCCAAG
rnacentral:lncRNA from 1 species